GGGGUUGUAGUUAAAUAUAACAUUUGGGUUGCAUUCAAAAAGUAUUGAAAUAUCAAUCAACCUCA
rnacentral:tRNA from 1 species